AGUGAACGCUGGCGGUAGGCCUAACACAUGCAAGUCGAACGGCAGCACAGUAAGAGCUUGCUCUUACGGGUGGCGAGUGGCGGACGGGUGAGGAAUACAUCGGAAUCUACUUUUUCGUGGGGGAUAACGUAGGGAAACUUACGCUAAUACCGCAUACGACCUACGGGUGAAAGCAGGGGAUCUUCGGACCUUGCGCGAUUGAAUGAGCCGAUGUCGGAUUAGCUAGUUGGCGGGGUAAAGGCCCACCAAGGCGACGAUCCGUAGCUGGUCUGAGAGGAUGAUCAGCCACCUGGGAACUAGGAAACGGCCCAAACUCCUAGGGAGGGAAGAGGGGGGAAUUUUGGACAAUGGGCGCAAGCCUGAUCCAGCCAUACCGCGUGGGUGAAGAAGGCCUUCGGGUUGUAAAGCCCUUUUGUUGGGAAAGAAAAGCAGCAGGUUAAUACCCCGCUGUUCUGACGGUACCCAAAGAAUAAGCACCGGCUAACUUCGUG
rnacentral:rRNA from 1 species